rnacentral:lncRNA from 1 species
GGAUUACAGGCAUGAGCCACCGCGCCCAGCUAUAUUAUACUUUAUACUUUUUAUGUGCAAAAGGAAAAAUUUGACCAUUAUUAACAGUGAAGUAUAUUCUUAUAUUACACAUUAUACUGGUUGAGUAUCCCUUAUCCGAAAUGCUUGGGACCAGAGGUGUUUUGGAUUUUUUUUGCAUUUUGGAAUAUUUGCAUUAUACUUACUGGUUUAACAUCCCUAAUCUGAAAAUACAAAAUGCUCCAAAGAGCAUUUCCUUUGAUCAUCAUGUUGGUGCUCAAAAAAUUUCAGAUUUUGAAGCAUUUUGGGUUUCAGAUUAGGGAUACUCAACCUGUAACAUUUUAUUGUUUUAAAAUACUCUUGUAUGUCAGUUAAUAAAGGUACGUACAAACAUUUGCUCAAAUAUUUAAGUUGUCAAUAACUAAUAAGCAGGUUUUCUGCUUGCUUAGUGUUGCUACAUAUAGUGAUCAGAAAUGUGUUUCUUGUGAAUGAUGUACUUUUUUAGAGUCAGCAUGCACUAGGACUUGUGAUCCUUAAGAAUGCCUCAGAAGGAAAGGAAUAAAAUAAGAACUUAUACAUUAAAUCAGACUCUUGAGGGUAUAGAAAUAUAAUGGUAAUGUGAUGGCUCUGAUAACUUGGUGUAAAAAUAGAUGAGUCUAAGGAGAGAAUAUUUGUUUAUGAAGCAAAGAGCCGAUCGUUUUUGUUUGUUUGUUUUUUGACAUGGAGUCUGCUCUGUUGCCCAGGCUGGAGUACAAUGAUGCAGUCUAGGCUCACUGCAACGUCUGCCUCCUGGAUUCAAACGAUUCUCAUGCCUCAGCCUCCCAAGCAGCUGGAAUUACAGGCGCCUGCCACCACGCCCAGCUACUUUUUGUAUUUUUAGUAGAGAUGGGGUUUUACCAUGUUGGCCAGGCUGGUCUCGAACUCCUGACCUCAGGUGAUCCGCCUGCCUCGGCCUCCCAAAGUGCUGGGAUUACAGGCGUGAGCCACUGCGCCCGGCCAAUAUUCUUUUCUAAUAGGCUUUUCCACCUCUCAUGCAUCCAUUAUCAUCAUUUUUUUUUUUUUUUGAGACAUGACUUUGCUGUCACCCAGGCUGUAGGGCAGUGGCACGAUCUCUGCGCACUGCAACCUCUGUCUCCCAGGCUCAAGCAAUCCUCCUGCCUCAGUCUCCUGAGUAGCUGGGACCACAGGCACCAGCCACCACACCUGGCUAAUUUUUGUUUUUUUUAUAGAGGUGGGGUUCUACCAUGUUGCCCAGGCUGGUCUUGAACUCCUGAGCUCAACUAUCUGCCUACCUCCCCCUCCCAAAGUGCUGGGAUUACAGGCAUGAGUCACCAAACUAGCAUUUUUUUUGUUUUUUUUUUUUAAGAUAGGGUCUUAUUCUUUUCCCCCAGGCUGAAAUGCAGUGGUGUGGUAAUAGCUCAUUGCAACCUUGAACUCCUGGGCUCAAGCAAUCCUCCCACUUUAGCCUCCCAGGUAGCUAGGAUUACAGGCAUGCACCACCAUGCCCAACUAAUUUUUUACAUUUUGGUAGAGAUGGGAUCUCCCCAGGUUGCCCAGGAGUUUGAGAAAGGAGUUAUUAAAGUGUAUUUUGUAGCUCACAUUGGAGAGCCUGGCAUGGGAAAUAGGAUAAAAGGGAGGGUAAGUUGUCAAAACAAGAGCCAAAGUCAUGCCCCAAUGCCAGCUGGGCUAAGAUGCUCAUGCUUCUGGAUUCCAGGUCUUUGUAUAUCCAAAUGUUGACACAUCUUUUCCAUUUAGAAACUAAUAGGCAUUUUAAAUUUGACAUGUGUGUAACCAAAUUUAUCUUGCCCCUAAGCUUAUUCUGAAUGUUCAGGUAACAAUUUCAGUUCAAUUAUCUUUUACCCUCUUUUUCUUUUUUUUUUUUUUUUUUGUUGUUGUUUUUGAGACGGAGUCUCACUCUGUUGUUCAGGCUGGAGUGCAGUGGCACGAUCUCGACUCACUGCAACCUCCGCUUCCCGGGUUCAAGCAAUUUUCCUGCCUCAGCCUCCCAAGUAGCUGGGACUAUAGGUGCGCGCUACCAUGCCCAGCUAAUUUUUGUAAUUUUAGUAGAGACGGGGUUUCAUCAUGUUGGCCAGGAUGGUCUCGAUCUCUUGUCCUCGUGAUCCACCCGCCUCAGCCUCCCAAAGUGCUGGGAUUACAGGUGUGAGCCACUGUGCCCAGCCUACCCUCUUCUUUCAACCCACAUCUGAUGCAGAACCAUCCUUUGGGUCAACCUUAAAAAUACAUCCAGAAUCCAGCCAUUUUUCACACCUCCAGUGCAACACCUUGGUCUAAUCUACCAUCAUCUCUUGCCUGGAUUGCUGCAUUUAGCCUCUUUAUGGAUCACCUUGUUUCUGCCCUCUUGCUACCCCCAAGCCCCCUCAAGUUUAGUCUCACUACAGCAGUUGAAGUGAUCCAUUUUAGUUAAGUCAGUAAUGUUUCUCCUUUGCUCAGAAUCCUACAGUAGCUUCCAUGAGACUCAGAGUAAAAAAAAAUGAAAUUUACAUGGUCCUGUGUGAUCUAUCCCCUUCCACCCUACUCUUCUCCUUUGCCCACUUUGUUCUAACAAUUCUGGCCCCCUUGCUGUUCCUGGAAAACAGGUCACACACUAAGGGUCAAGAAUCUAAACGACUUUAGACUUCUCAACAGCAAAACUGGAAACUAGAAGGCAUUGGCACAGUGGCUUCAAAAUCCUGAAGGGAAGUCAUUACCAGUCCAGCAUUCUGUAUCCAGCCAAUCUCUCAAUCAAGUUGGGGGAGUAUGCUUUCAUAGGAAGUUCCUAGAGGAUGAGCUAUUUUUCACCGAAAUGAAGGCAUAAGCCAAGAAAGAAGACUAGGAUUUUGAGUGUAGAAAGCAGAUCUAGCACAUACGAGAAACAAAGUACCUUCCAGGAUAAUGGUGAAGGGACAUCCCAGGGUGGCAGCUGUGCAUCAGGACUACAGGGAGCUGGCUUAGUUGCAGGGGGGCGGUGGAUGGGGGUGUGGGGGUCACAUGGCUCUGGGAGAGACUUUUUUAGAAAGAUGAAUUGGUAGAAUACCUGGUGAGUCUAGACAUCUUGUGAUCUAGGGAACUGUAAACAAGUUUUGAAAAGUCAUAGAAAAAUGCAAAAAAAGUACUAACUUUAAAGAAACACAUUAAGUAGUACAGAAAAGAAAAAGUAAUUACAGUAUAGUUUACUGUGUGGCUCAACUGUGAACGUUUAUGUAGUUAUAAUUGAUAACUGAGUACUGAACUAAACAACUUUAUGAUACAACCAUUAUUAGGGGAUGGAAAGAGUAUACACGGGGUCAGGGAGGAGAAGCAGAUCUUCAUACUCUAUACUGGUACAUCUAUGGGUAUUUAACAUGGAAAAAUCAAGAAGUAGCAAUAAUGCAUAUUUAUAUAUAAAAGACAUGGAGGUAAGCAGUAAAACAAUCAGCUAAAAGUUGAAAAUGGUUGCCUCUGGAGGGAGAAGUGGGUAGGAGGAUGAAAAAUUACUGUUUUUCAGAACAAACCUUAUAGAACUGUUUGACUCUAAAUUGUGUACACGAAUAACUAAAACAAUUAAAACUACCACACAAAACAGAAAGCAAAACCUUUCAGUGAGUACAAAAAGGAGGAAUAGGUCUAUUGAGUAGCUGGAUCUGUUGUGCCUCUUUUCCCUUCUAUGCAGUAUAAGGUAACUGGCUUAGGCCUUUGCUACCAGGCUAAAACCACGAGAGUUGCUGUCUAAGACAAGUAGAAAACUUUUUGUGGGGAGGACUCCUAGUUGCAUGUUAAGGACCAAGAGGGAAACCAAGGAAACCCUGAACUCUAUAGUGGUUGUAAAUAAAGUGAGAAGGAAGAGAAAAAACACUUGGUUUUGGAAUGAAAUAUGAUAUAAAGUCUUGUAAUGAAGUCUUCCCUAUUUUGAGAGUUAAGAGGCUCUUUAGCCUGCCUGCAUACUUCCUUGAUUAGGGAAGCUGUUUGUAUGCCCUAACUGUUCAUUGAGCUAGUCCUUCAUUAAUGUGAGCAGAAAAACAGGCAAAGUAGUUGAAGAAAAUAAAAGGACCAUGAUGUAGUGAGGUACAGCUACAUUAGAAGACAAGAUGAAGUAAAUACUUACUAAUAGGAAAAAUCAUGAACAUUACGGUUAUAAAUGCAGACUCAUACAUGUUUGUUUUGUUGGGUUUAAAUACCACCAGUGACAGUCUGGCCAACAUGGUGAAACCCUGUCUCUACUAAAAAUACAAAAAUUAGCUGGGUGUGGUGGCAGGUGCCUGUAAUCCCAGCUACUCGGGAGGCUGAGGCAGGAGAAUCACUUGAACCCCGGAGGCAGAGCUUGCAGUGAGCUUAGAUGGUGCCACUGUGCUCCAGCCUGGGCAACAGAGCCAGACUCCGUCUCC